UACAGAGGUCCCAAGCGUUGUUCGGAUUUACUGGGCGUAAAGGGUGCGUAGGCGGUCGGGUAAGUCUGAUGUGAAAUCUCAGAGCUCAACUCUGAAACUGCAUUGGAUACUAUUCGGCUUGGGGUCUGGAGGGGGGACUGGAAUUCUCGGUGUAGCAGUGAAAUGCGUAGAUAUCGAGAGGAACACCAGUGGCGAAGGCGAGUCCCUGGACAACACCUGACACUGAGGCACGAAAGCUAGGGGAGCAAACAGG
rnacentral:rRNA from 1 species